CCCUUAGAUGUUCUGGGCUGCACGCGCGCUACACUGAUGCGCUCAACGAGUUUAUGACCUUGCCCGGAAGGGUUGGGUAAUCUUUUCAAAACGCAUCGUGAUGGGGAUAGAUUAUUGCAAUUAUUAAUCUUCAACGAGGAAUUCCUAGUAAGCGCGAGUCAUCAGCUCGUGCUGAUUACGUCCCUGCCCUUUGUACACACCGCCCGUCGCUCCUACCGAUUGAGUGGUCCGGUGAGGCUUUGGGAUCUGAGCGGAAAGAGCGUUUCGCUGUUUCUGCUCGGAAAACUCAGUCGAACCUUAUCAUUUAGAGGAAGGAGAAGUCGUAACA
rnacentral:rRNA from 1 species